AGCUCUGGGGAAGAUAUGAAUGAUGACAACCUGAAAAAAUUUUUUCAUUUAUUUGGUACAAUGCUAAAGUGUCUAUGUGAUGACACAGCCUAGUGGGAAAUCCAAAGGAUUUGACUUUGUAAGUUACAAAAAAUUUGGAUACCUACAUUGUGGAAGAAAUGAACUCAGUGGCGAAAAAUCAUAUUCAUAAGCUCUGCACAGAAGUUGAACACUUGAAACAACAGAAGUUGGAACUUCAAAAAAUUAACCCAAUCAAAGGGGUAAAUGUGAGCCUGGCUAACACCAAUAUAUCUUGGAUAUAUUACCAGUGCCAAGAUGAUGCUGGAGUGAGGGAGAAACAAAAGGCUUGUCUUUUUCAGCUUCUCUUCCUCAAAGAGACAAAGCUGUUCCUGAAAUGAAUGGGCACAUGUACGUUGAUGAUGUAUGUUGGCUGGCCAAGUGAAAGAGAGUCUCACCUGCCCAUUCAGGAUAUGAAGGGGCAGAUGGUGGUUGGCAUGUGUUUUCCCUGCCAGUGCCGUCCUAAAUCAGUUCCAGCUAGUGACCAUUUGUGCCAGUGGUGCCACAGGCACGGGGAAGACCUCUGUAAUCUUCACCUAAUCAGAUGAUACCUAAACCAGUCUGGCAACAAGGUGGUAGAGGUCAAAGUUUCAAAAGAAUACCAGAGGCUGGGCGCAGUGGCUCAUGCCUGUAAUCCCAGCACUUUGUGAGGCCAAGGCAGGCGGAUCACUUGAGGUCAGGAGUUUGAGACCAGCCUGGCCAACAUGGUAAAACCCUGUCUCUACUAAAAAUAUGUAUAUACAAAAAUUAGCCGGGCGUGGUGGUGUGCCUCUGAAAUCCCAGCUACUCGGGAGGCUUAGGCAGGAGAAUCGCUUGAACCCGAGAGACAGAGGCUGCAGUGAGCUGAGAUCCUGCCAUUGCACUCCAGCCUGGGUGACAGAGCGAGACCCUGUCUCAAAAAAAAAGGAAAGGAAGAAAGAAAUACCAGACGUUAUGGACCAGUCUAGCCCAGGCUCAACCAUUUGCAACCUGGCUUCAACUAAAAAUGUUCCAGUCUUGCUUGGCCUCUUAUGCUAUUCAAAAAGUCAGGAUUCCCACUGCUGUACAGAAGUUGGCCCCUCAGCUUCUCUCAGCUGCUGUUAUCACCAUUGCUCUCUAGGCUGUUGCUCCAUAUAAAUUACCUCCAACGUCCUGUGAGGACCAAGCCUGGAGUUUGUGGGCAGGGGUAGGAGCCCCCAGCAGCCUCCAUGGUGGGCAUUGCAUCUCAUGCUGGUCACUGUUCACCACAGGAGCAGAAGAUAAUGGAACAGGUAAUGCUGAUGUGAAUUGUCAGUUCCAAAUUCUGCAAUAUGAUGCCGUCUCCCAAUAGCUCUGCUUCAAAAUGUAUAAAGCUGCAGUACUACUAUCAGCUUAUCACCUCCUGUCCAACAGAACUUUCUGCAAUGAUAGAAAUAUUCUAUAAUCUGCAAUGUCCAAAAUAGCAUCCACUAACCAAAUGGGGUUACUGGGUGCUUGAAAUGUGGCUGGUGCAACUGAAUUUUAAAUUUGUAUUAAAGUAUAAGUAAUGAAACUAAUUAAGUUAAAUAGCUGUAUGUGCCUUGUGGUUACCGUAUUAGACAGGGCAACUUAUCACACCAAGAAGAAAGCUGCCCAGGAGAACACCAAAACAGCUAAACAG
rnacentral:lncRNA from 1 species